rnacentral:rRNA from 1 species
UAAUGAGGCGAACCGGGGGAACUGAAACAUCUAAGUACCCCGAGGAAAAGAAAUCAACCGAGAUUCCCCCAGUAGCGGCGAGCGAACGGGGAGGAGCCCAGAGCCUGAAUCAGUGUGUGUGUUAGUGGAAGCGUCUGGAAAGGCGCGCGAUACAGGGUGACAGCCCCGUACACAAAAAUGCACAUGCUGUGAGCUCGAUGAGUAGGGCGGGACACGUGGUAUCCUGUCUGAAUAUGGGGGGACCAUCCUCCAAGGCUAAAUACUCCUGACUGACCGAUAGUGAACCAGUACCGUGAGGGAAAGGCGAAAAGAACCCCGGCGAGGGGAGUGAAAAAGAACCUGAAACCGUGUACGUACAAGCAGUGGGAGCACAGAGCAAUCUGUGUGACUGCGUACCUUUUGUAUAAUGGGUCAGCGACUUAUAUUCUGUAGCAAGGUUAACCGAAUAGGGGAGCCGAAGGGAAACCGAGUCUUAACUGGGCGUUAAGUUGCAGGGUAUAGACCCGAAACCCGGUGAUCUAGCCAUGGGCAGGUUGAAGGUUGGGUAACACUAACUGGAGGACCGAACCGACUAAUGUUGAAAAAUUAGCGGAUGACUUGUGGCUGGGGGUGAAAGGCCAAUCAAACCGGGAGAUAGCUGGUUCUCCCCGAAAGCUAUUUAGGUAGCGCCUCGUGAAUUCAUCUCCGGGGGUAGAGCACUGUUUCGGCAAGGGGGUCAUCCCGACUUACCAACCCGAUGCAAACUGCGAAUACCGGAGAAUGUUAUCACGGGAGACACACGGCGGGUGCUAACGUCCGUCGUGAAGAGGGAAACAACCCAGACCGCCAGCUAAGGUCCCAAAGUCAUGGUUAAGUGGGAAACGAUGUGGGAAGGCCCAGACAGCCAGGAUGUUGGCUUAGAAGCAGCCAUCAUUUAAAGAAAGCGUAAUAGCUCACUGGUCGAGUCGGCCUGCGCGGAAGAUGUAACGGGGCUAAACCAUGCACCGAAGCUGCGGCAGCGACACUGUGUGUUGUUGGGUAGGGGAGCGUUCUGUAAGCCUGUGAAGGUGUGCUGUGAGGCAUGCUGGAGGUAUCAGAAGUGCGAAUGCUGACAUAAGUAACGAUAAAGCGGGUGAAAAGCCCGCUCGCCGGAAGACCAAGGGUUCCUGUCCAACGUUAAUCGGGGCAGGGUGAGUCGACCCCUAAGGCGAGGCCGAAAGGCGUAGUCGAUGGGAAACAGGUUAAUAUUCCUGUACUUGGUGUUACUGCGAAGGGGGGACGGAGAAGGCUAUGUUGGCCGGGCGACGGUUGUCCCGGUUUAAGCGUGUAGGCUGGUUUUCCAGGCAAAUCCGGAAAAUCAAGGCUGAGGCGUGAUGACGAGGCACUACGGUGCUGAAGCAACAAAUGCCCUGCUUCCAGGAAAAGCCUCUAAGCAUCAGGUAACAUCAAAUCGUACCCCAAACCGACACAGGUGGUCAGGUAGAGAAUACCAAGGCGCUUGAGAGAACUCGGGUGAAGGAACUAGGCAAAAUGGUGCCGUAACUUCGGGAGAAGGCACGCUGAUAUGUAGGUGAAGUCCCUCGCGGAUGGAGCUGAAAUCAGUCGAAGAUACCAGCUGGCUGCAACUGUUUAUUAAAAACACAGCACUGUGCAAACACGAAAGUGGACGUAUACGGUGUGACGCCUGCCCGGUGCCGGAAGGUUAAUUGAUGGGGUCAGCGCAAGCGAAGCUCUUGAUCGAAGCCCCGGUAAACGGCGGCCGUAACUAUAACGGUCCUAAGGUAGCGAAAUUCCUUGUCGGGUAAGUUCCGACCUGCACGAAUGGCGUAAUGAUGGCCAGGCUGUCUCCACCCGAGACUCAGUGAAAUUGAACUCGCUGUGAAGAUGCAGUGUACCCGCGGCAAGACGGAAAGACCCCGUGAACCUUUACUAUAGCUUGACACUGAACAUUGAGCCUUGAUGUGUAGGAUAGGUGGGAGGCUUUGAAGUGUGGACGCCAGUCUGCAUGGAGCCGACCUUGAAAUACCACCCUUUAAUGUUUGAUGUUCUAACGUGGACCCGUGAUCCGGGUUGCGGACAGUGUCUGGUGGGUAGUUUGACUGGGGCGGUCUCCUCCUAAAGAGUAACGGAGGAGCACGAAGGUUGGCUAAUCCUGGUCGGACAUCAGGAGGUUAGUGCAAUGGCAUAAGCCAGCUUGACUGCGAGCGUGACGGCGCGAGCAGGUGCGAAAGCAGGUCAUAGUGAUCCGGUGGUUCUGAAUGGAAGGGCCAUCGCUCAACGGAUAAAAGGUACUCCGGGGAUAACAGGCUGAUACCGCCCAAGAGUUCAUAUCGACGGCGGUGUUUGGCACCUCGAUGUCGGCUCAUCACAUCCUGGGGCUGAAGUAGGUCCCAAGGGUAUGGCUGUUCGCCAUUUAAAGUGGUACGCGAGCUGGGUUUAGAACGUCGUGAGACAGUUCGGUCCCUAUCUGCCGUGGGCGCUGGAGAACUGAGGGGGGCUGCUCCUAGUACGAGAGGACCGGAGUGGACGCAUCACUGGUGUUCGGGUUGUCAUGCCAAUGGCACUGCCCGGUAGCUAAAUGCGGAAGAGAUAAGUGCUGAAAGCAUCUAAGCACGAAACUUGCCCCGAGAUGAGUUCUCCCUGACCCUUUAAGGGUCCUGAAGGAACGUUGAAGACGACGACGUUGAUAGGCCGGGUGUGUAAGCGCAGCGAUGCGUUGAGCUAACCGGUACUAAUGAACCGUGAGGCUUAACCUUACAACGCCGAAGGUGUUU